rnacentral:rRNA from 1 species
UGGGGAAUAUUGCGCAAUGGGCGAAAGCCUGACGCAGCAACGCCGCGUGAGUGAUGAAGGCCUUCGGGUUGUAAAGCUCUGUCGGGCGGAACGAAUGGGCAAGGUGUGAAUAAUAUCUUGCAUUGACGGUACCGCCAAAGGAAGCACCGGCUAACUCCGUGCCAGCAGCCGCGGUAAUACGGAGGGUGCAAGCGUUGCUCGGAAUUAUUGGGCGUAAAGCGCACGCAGGCGGCAGGGUAAGUCAGUUGUGAAACUCCCGGGCUUAACUUGGGAACUGCAUCUGAUACUGCCUUGCUUGAGUACGGAAGAGGGGAGCGGAAUUCCCAGUGUAGAGGUGAAAUUCGUAGAUAUUGGGAGGAACACCGGUGGCGAAAGCGGCUCCCUGGUCCGAUACUGACGCUCAUGUGCGAAAGCGUGGGGAGCAAACAGG